rnacentral:rRNA from 1 species
UGGCGAACGGGUGAGUAAUACAUCGGAACGUGUCCGCUCGUGGGGGACAACCAGCCGAAAGGUUGGCUAAUACCGCAUGAGUUCUACGGAAGAAANAGGGGACCCGCAAGGGCCUCUCGCGAGCGGAGCGGCCGAUGACUGAUUAGCCGGUUGGUGAGGUAACGGCUCACCAAAGCAACGAUCAGUAGCUGGUCUGAGAGGACGACCAGCCACACUGGGACUGAGACACGGCCCAGACUCCUACGGGAGGCAGCAG